rnacentral:rRNA from 1 species
UACGUAGGGUGCGAGCGUUAAUCGGAAUUACUGGGCGUAAAGCGUGCGCAGGCGGCGCGUUAAGACAGGUGUGAAAGCCCCGAGCUUAACUUGGGAAUUGCGCUUGUGACUGGCGUGCUGGAGUGUGGCAGAGGGAGGUGGAAUUCCACGUGUAGCAGUGAAAUGCGUAGAGAUGUGGAGGAACACCGGUGGCGAAGGCGGCCUGCUGGGCAGUAGCUGACGCUGAUGCGCGACAGCGUGGGGAGCAAACAGG